rnacentral:rRNA from 1 species
GGAAUUUUCCGCAAUGGGCGAAAGCCUGACGGAGCAAUACCGCGUGAGGGAAGACGGCCUAUGGGUUGUAAACCUCUUUUCUCAGGGAGGGAAUCAAUGACGUUACCUGAAGAAUAAGCAUCGGCUAACUCCGUGCCAGCAGCCGCGGUAAGACGGAGGAUGCAAGCGUUAUCCGGAAUCACUGGGCGUAAAGCGUCUGUAGGUUGUUGAACAAGUCAACUGUUAAAUCUUGAGGCUCAACUUCAAAAUCGCAGUCGAAACUGUUUGACUAGAGUAUAGUAGGGGUAAAGGGAAUUUCCAGUGGAGCGGUGAAAUGCGUAGAGAUUGGAAAGAACACCGAUGGCGAAGGCACUUUACUGGGCUAUUACUGACACUCAGAGACGAAAGCUAGGGUAGCAAAUGGGAUUAGAUACCCCUGUAGUC